AGUGAACGCUGGCGGUAGGCCUAACACAUGCAAGUCGAACGGCAGCACAGUAAGAGCUUGCUCUUAUGGGUGGCGAGUGGCGGACGGGUGAGGAAUACAUCGGAAUCUACUUUUUCGUGGGGGAUAACGUAGGGAAACUUACGCUAAUACCGCAUACGACCUACGGGUGAAAGCAGGGGAUCUUCGGACCUUGUGCGAUUGAAUGAGCCGAUGUCGGAUUAGCUAGUUGGCGGGGUAAAGGCCCACCAAGGCGACGAUCCGUAGCUGGUCUGAGAGGAUGAUCAGCCACACUGGAACUGAGACACGGUCCAGACUCCUACGGGAGGCAGCAGUGGGGAAUAUUGGACAAAGGGCGCAAGCCUGAUCCAGCCAUACCGCGUGGGUGAAGAAGGCCUUCGGGUUGUAAAGCCCUUUUGUUGGGAAAGAAAAGCAGCAGGUUAAUACCCCGCUGUUCUGACGGUACCCAAAGAAUAAGCACCGGCUAACUUCGUG
rnacentral:rRNA from 1 species